GACCGCGUAGCUCAGUUGGCAGAGCAUUGGGCUAGUAUUCCAAAGGUUGUAGGUUCGAUUCCCACCGUGGCA
rnacentral:tRNA from 1 species